rnacentral:tRNA from 1 species
GGGAUAAUAGCUCAGUGGUAGAGCACUUGCUUAGCAUGCACAAGGUCCUGGGUUCAAUCCCCAGUACCUCCA